rnacentral:rRNA from 1 species
UACAGAGGUGGCAAGCGUUGUUCGGAAUUACUGGGCGUAAAGGGCGCGUAGGCGCCUUCUAAGUCAGACGUGAAAUCCCCAGGCUUAACUUGGGAACUGCGUCUGAUACUGGAAGGCUUGAGUGCGGGAGAGGGAUGUGGAAUUCCAGGUGUAGCGGUGAAAUGCGUAGAUAUCUGGAGGAACACCGGUGGCGAAGGCGGCGACUCGUGGACGAGUGACUGACGACUGGAGAACGCGAAAGACC